rnacentral:rRNA from 1 species
CUACGGGGUGCUCCAGUGGGGAAUUUUGCGCAAUGGGGGAAACCCUGACGCAGCAAUACCGCGUGAGUGAAGAAGGCCUUUGGGUCGUAAAGCUCUUUUCUUGGGGAAGAUAGUGACGGUACCCAAGGAAUAAGCACCGGCUAACUCCGUGCCAGCAGCCGCGGUAAUACGGAGGGUGCAAGCGUUGUUCGGAUUUACUGGGCGUAAAGGGCACGUAGGCGGCACAGCAAGUUAAGGGUGAAAUCCCGGGGCUCAACUCCGGAACUGCUCUUAAAACUGCUGAGCUAGAGAUAGUCAGAGGCGGGUGGAAUUCCAGGUGUAGAGGUGAAAUUCGUAGAUAUCUGGAGGAACACCGGUGGCGAAGGCGGCCCGCUGGGGCCAUUCUGACGCUAAGGUGCGAAAGCGUGGGGAGCAAACGGGAUUAGAUACCCGGGUAGUC